GAAACUCAGAGGGAAGGGAAGCUCUCCUGGAGCGCAGCGUCUCGGUCGGGAAAACCGUUCGGACGUUCAAAAAUGACGUUGUGCCCUGUCUUGCGUUAAGGAUUAGGAAUUAUUGGUGUUACUCGGCUGUGCGCUCGGAGAUUCAUCGCGUUGUUAUUCAAACUCUGGCUGCAGAGAGGUUCCAGCGUAGCAUCCACAACCCACUCUAAACCCAACCCAUUAUCGCCGAGGCUGCAAUAAAACAAGAAUUAAGCUGAACCUUGUAUGAACAUAGAUGCAUCCAGCCACAGCAACUUUAAUAAUAAUUAUAUUCAGGUGCAUAGAAUAGUUACGGGGAAAACUCUUUCGUAUCUUUCCAGUGAGUAAAACUAUUAAAGGUUUGGGAACAGAUAUUCUUUUCUUUGCAUGUUCAGGGAAAUGAAAAAAGGUUUUGAGAUUUUUGUUGUGUUUUCUUUUUUUUUUUCUUCUCUUGUUGAGGCAUUUUUUUCUUUUUUUUUUUUCCCUCAGAAAUAAAUGGAGUGAGGUGCUCCGUUGAAAGAAACAGAAGAGAAACUCUCCAACUGUAAAAAAAAUGGGGCAAAUUUCACUUUUAGGGGACUAGGAUCUCAAAUUCACUUCACUGUUUUGGGCAACAGAGAGAAGGAAAUUCGUGGUGUGGUUCGUCUGUGUCACAGCCUUGGAGGUCCUAUUCGGGCCGUCGAGUGACACAGCUGAGAUUUCUGAUCGUAAUCUAAAACGGAAAUAGCUGCCAUUUAGGAGACAUAACCGUUUCCACUAUCGCAUUUUACCUACCCGUAAAAUGCAAUUUUGUUCCUAAUUUCAAUAGCUGUUUCGUCAGAGAAUGUGAGGAAUGGGCUCACUAAUAAAUACACCCUAGAGAAAAAUUAUCCCUUCAAAUAAGGUUAUCAGCGUUAAAAUUGUAAAUGUGCUUUCCAGACCUGAAAAAAUUAGGUAUGUGACAGAAAGAUAAUUAAUUAAAGAAAAAAUAAAACAAAACAAAACCGAAACCGCAGUAGGAACACUAACGCUCUCCACAUUGGAAGAGAUGGCAACUUGUCUAAGAUUCGUCACCACGAAAAAAAUUCCCCUGCAGUGGCUGUCGCUCUGAAUUGAUAGGGGAGAAAAAAAUGCUUAAUGCCUGUCACCGACGAACAGUGCUGCGGAGUUAGUUUAUCUUUACAUUAAAUCUGGGACAUAUUAAGUGUUCCGUGGUCUAAAGUCUGUCUGCUCUGCCUAUUCCAGCCGUGAUUGAAUCUGAAGGAAAUCAGAUGUGCAAGAGUGAUCGAAACGUGCUAAGCUAGAGAAUCUUGCAAGAGUUUAAACGCCGUCGCGGUGGGGAUGAGAUCGAUAGGGGAGAGGAAGGAAGGAAAUGGAUGUUAUAUGUCCGAGAGCGCUCCGGCAGCCCCCUCGCCAUCUCCGACGGCACCUUCCGCCGCCCCGCUCCGCUCUCCUGGCAACCGCGGCCGCCGGGCCACACGCCACACCGCCCGCGGUGCGACGGCCCCGGCGGGGCCCGCGGGAGCAGAACCAGCUGCCGCGCGUUCCCGCCGAGGAGACCCUGACCCUUUGCUCCGCACCGCUCCGCACCCCACCGCGCCGCACCGCGGGGUGCGCGCAGCCCGCCCGCCCUACGGCGGAGGGACAGAUCGCACGUAUUGUUUAUUGUUUAUUUCUAGAGGGCGGGAGCUUGUUGAUUUCUUUCCUCCUCACUAGAUUUCUGUAGGUUGCUGUGUGGCAUGGUGUUUUCAUUUCUUGACUUUUUAAAAUAAAUGUUUGGAUUUAAAUUUAUCGAACAACCUGUGAUCCAUAUGUCUGUCCGAUUAAUUUUUUUAUGGGAUGAUGAAAGAGAGAAGAAUCUCUCUAUAUAAUGAUCUGCUAAUGGAGUAAUAUAUGGAUCCAAAACACCUUUCUGGGGUUACUUUUAUUUCUGGACCUUAAAAUGCACUCCGAAUUUUAAGGCGAUUGGGUGAGGUGCUGCUUAUUUGACGUAGGACAAUCACAUAUUUAGACUUCCAAGGGGAAAGAAAUACUGUUUUUCACCAGAAAGGUGUUUUCCUGCCCUUCUUUCGAAAAUUUCGAGUGACAUUAAAGGGAUGAUUAUGGCCAUGUUUUGUCAUUCACAGUGUGAUUUCUGCAAAUCUUUUCGAACAUUGAAACCGGGUGCCACCAGAGAGUAAAAUAUCCACAGCAUCCUUUUUCCUUCAAAGACACAAUUUUCUGUAACUUCCCAGCAGGGACCCAUAGGAGCGGUCACUAAGGAAAACAUAUUUAUAUCAUUAACCGCUUCUUCCCGCCCCCCCUCAAGUGAGCUUAAUCGCUUCACCCUAAGGAGACGUGACAUGUAAAACUGACAGCAGGUAGCUGACGGCGGCUAGUCAGUCAAGCAUUAUCAACUGAAGAAAAAUUACAGACGCCAAUGAGAAAGUCGUCUGCAAACUCCGUUUCUGUGCAUACCAAAUGCACCUUCGCCCCCGUCCCUUUCCCUUGCUCUUGCUUGCUGGUGUCGCGUGCUAAUAACCACUUCAACUUUCCUAUAACGGGGUGAACGGCAAGCCUAGAGCGACUGUCCCAGAGAUACAGAUGACCUUCAAAAGAGGGUCGAGAGAAGGUUAAGCGCGGCUUAAAUUUAAAAGAAGCAGGAAAGCCCCCUGAGCCCCUCUGGCCGCGGCGGGGUAUUACAGCCCACCCGUUCCGUUCCGCCGAGUACCCUCCGGCUAGGCUGCUUUCCCCCCUGCCAGGCGGGCUGCAGCCCGGCGGAGAAGGUGGCACCAGGGAGUCGGCACGAACGGUGGUCCAGAGCGGCGGCGGGGCUCUCCAUCGGUUUCCGAUGAGAACGGCCCAGACCUUGCUCCCGCUUGUGUGUGCCACCUUCCGCGGGCGCAUAACGAGCGCGGCUCAUAGCGAGAGGCACGGGCGGUCCCAACUCAUCCCACGCCUGGCCCAGGCCCACGGAGCCUUGGUAGCCCCCUAGUACUCGUCUCGGACACACUGCCUCGUGCACCCGCCCGACGGGCUUUAGCUUCGAGGCCGAGCUGGGACGAGAGGCAGCGGGGCCGGUUUCCCACCACUUGAGACUCCCUGGGCUCAAACUGGACAACUCGACUGACGGUUCCCACAACAAGGGGACGGCGAGGCCGAUCCGGACUCAGCCUCCAGGACCAGAAAGCAUGCAGCAUCCCGCUCCUUGCUCCUAGCUCAGGAGCCGAGAAAAGGGAACCGAGCCGGGAAGACGAGGGCAAUCCCUCGCGCCCUCAUCGCACACUGAGCCCUUUGCCGCCUGCGGUGACCCAGAUUUAGCCCGGACCGGGGGAAGCCUCGUUGCGACUGUUGCCAGUCGCCCCGAAGCCAAGGCAGGAGCGUGUCCACGGCGGCGGAACGGCGGCCCUCAAACAGCCGCCGCGAGUGGAGUUAGAGGAUGGCUAAUCGGUGCGGCGUGGCACAUUUUGUUCCCCCUUCAGCACCGCGGCGCACUGCGCCGUGACGGCCGCGCAUCGAGGAGACGAACGGGUCGGGGCCGGCUCGCCGUGCCCGCUGACGGGGAGUCCGGUCCUAUGGCCAGGAGCGCGUCAUCCCCCGGCCAUCCUCACCGGCCUUUCCCCGCGAACCCCAGCAAGCUCCUCGGCACGGCCGUCCUUGCCCGCCGUGCCCCCGCAGUCUCAGGUCUCGUUUUAAAACUUAGGGGAAAAAAGUAUUCGCUCCCCUGCUGCGGAGUAUAAAUAAGAUCAACGUACGGAAAUAAACGCGCAGCCAACCGACCGGCUUUCCGGACGGGUGAAAAUGCCGAGAAAAUGCAUUAAAGAAUUGAAAACACAAUAUAAAGGCAUCCAUGAUAAAAUUGUAAA